GCAGAGUUGAAAAAGUAAGAAUGGGAGUGGUAUACAUUUUGCUUUUCUUCUACUGCGAUUAUCAGCAGCAAUCCUUACAACUAAGAUACGGCAUAUUCCAGUGAAAGAGAAACUCAGCAGAGGACGUAGGCUCAGGCCGCCUUUGUCCACGACGCAUGUAUGACAAGAAUCAAAAUGACCACAUCUCCUUUAAAGAUGGGAAAGACUGAAGCAAAAGUAAUGGUGCAUCAAAAGCCCAUAUGACUCAUUCCUAUGCAUAUCGAGGUAAGAUUUCGAAGUAUUGAAUAACACAAAGGAUUUUCUGGAGGUGAGAGGAAAGGACUCAGAACUGGCUUCCGUCUUGCCAGAAAGCAGUACCCCUAACAAGUUGGUUGUCUCCCGCUUUGAAGAACCUUGUGACGAAUAGAAACCAAGAGAUAUAGGAGAGGUGGGAGUACAUUUCUCGACACGGGCUUCAUUUAUUUAUAUGCUGCGGCACACGCACUCAUGAUGUUUCAAACUUAUUUCCACCAGAUUCAAAAUAAA